AGGGGCUGGGUUUCAAUUGAGGAACUCGAGUGCUUAUCUCGAGUAUGACCUACCCGACUCCCAUGGUGACUGGAAGAAGAGAUGGUUUUAUAUUGUAACCAUGAUCCUGUCUUGCCAGUAGUCACCAGCCAUGCUCCAAAGCAUGCAGACAAUUGGGUGAGCGAGCCCGAGGACACCCCUAAGAUAACUGACCUACUGACUCAGAUUGCUGAGAUGAUGUCUUUGGGUUUAACUGGCAUUAAUAUAGCCACUAGUUUUCUCAAGCGAAGAGUUCAUCCCUUGCAGCAACAAGCUCGCUCAGGCUCAGAGGUUUUGAUGACCCGUUGCGAAUGUCUCCUGAAGACGUAUCUGAUGACGAUGUGGAGGCGUUGUUGGGCAAGUUAUUUAAGAACUAUCAAGGGGUACUAGUACUUCCAGGAGUUCUUCGUCAGUUUGAUAGUUGGUAUGAACCAACAGAGUCCCGGGUGCUUUUUGGCUUCUUGGCGUCAUCUGAGGGCAGAGAGAUUGCUGUGGUUGACACUGACGAUGACCCUUCUCCUCCUGCCAAGAAACGGCAAGUAGUUUGAAAGAAAGCUGCUGUUCAGCCUAUUUCAUCUUCAUCGAGUUUGACCCCCGAGGGGUCAUAGAGUGCCAAGGUUGACAACUUGGCCAUCGGUGGUGAUGAGGCUACUUCUGGUGAAAUAGUCGCGAUUGCAAAAGACGCAGCUGUCAGUGUCGCGGCUGUUGAAGAGCUGCCUGUGAGGGUGCCACUUUUGAACUCAGAAACAGCAGCCUCCGAGCAGGUAGUAUCGGCGUCGGCAGCCCCUGAGUCGGUAGCCCCCGAGCAGGUUACCGAGUCAUCCGUUGAUAAGGUUACAUCUUCUGAGCUAGCAGAUGCUGUGAGGACACCGGUGGUGGCUGCUAGUGCCUUGUUGUCUGAUGUUAUCGCCAGUGUGAGUACUCGAUUUAUUCUGGUAGUCGUGCGUACGUAGUCUCAACCUUGGUUUUUUCAGGACUCGGCGAAGGAGUAGAGGUCAUUCCUCCCACGGCCCCUGUAGUGCCGAGUAUCCGACCGGUGGUAGCUGAGAAGAAACGUGUUUGAUUGGCGUCGCAAUCAUCCUGGGAUGCUGAAGAUACUAUUCCCGUGGAGAUAGGGAUGGAGGCUGGUCUCCCAACUAUGCUCUCUAACCCCUUAGUUGAUUUGUCGAUGGAUGAUGCACCUGAGGUUGAAGACACAAGUCGUCUUGGUACCACUAUAUCCAUGCUACAAGAAGUUAUUCACUCAGUGGAGGGCCCAACAGUUCCCUCGAGUUCUGGAGGUGUGCCGUCUUCAACAACCGCUUUGGUUGAUGCGACUAAAGUGGGUGAAGUCGGUGCACUGGGGGCUGUUGUGGGUGAAAAACUGGAGCCUCAAAUUGCUAAGAAUACUGGGGGUCUGGUAGUCAAGCUGCCGUCAGAGUCAGAGUUUCAAAGAGCUAUCCAGAGCUUUCAGGUGUGUAUGAGCUAUUUUCUUUGAUUUGUGUUUCGACAAGUCUUGUCGACUUGUUUUGAGGUGCUUGCAGGACUUGUAUGAUAGAGCCCAAAGAAAUACUCAGGCUCUCCAGUAGCACAAUGAAACCAUGCAACGAGUGGCGCAACUGGAGCAAGAAUGUAGCUGUCUUAUAGAGUCCUUGAGAGUUCAUGAGGAGGCUGCGAAGCUUUUGCAGUUGAGCGGAAUGAUCAUGAAGUCCUACAGGAGCGAUUGGGGAAUCGCUAUAAAUCUUUGAACAAAAAAUAUCAACAGCUCAAGAGAAAAGAGGCUACUGUGAGUAGCCAACUUCUUGAUUGGAGAAACGCCCAUAACCGGGUAGCUGAUGAGGCUGCCAAUCUCAGGGCAUCACUGGCUGAGGCUCAGGCUACCUAUAAGCAUGAGAGGAGCAGGAAGAAUCAGAAUGGGGUAAUGCUUCCUAUGGCAAUGGUGGCGUGUAGGGAUCAUGGUAUAACUAUAGGGAGACUGCAAGGCGAGCUCCAAGAGUUGACCAGUGCUGCGCAGAACAUAGUCAAUGGUAUCGCUCCACUUGAAGAUGACGCUGGGCCUCGCUCGCUGGUCGAGAGACUAAGAGCUACCUCGUGUAAAGUUGCUGGACUCUGUAAGGCUGUCUGCAAACAAGUGUUUGCGGUAGUCAAGUCAUAUUACCCGAGGGCAAAUUUAUCGGCGGCUGGUGAUGGAGUUGCUAAGAACUGCAUAGAGGAUACCUAUGUGCAGUAUCUUGAGGAGGCUGAGCCGAUUGCUUCAAAGAUGUCUGAGUUUAUAUCUUUGGAGGAGCCAUAGUUCGAGUUGUAAUCUGUCGAGUACUCAUGGGAGUACUCAAACAAUUCUCUGUAAAUUUUAUUGGAGUCCAAAUUGUAAUCGACGAUCUCUUAUUUGUAGUCGGGAAGAACAAAUUCAAGUAAUCGAGUAGUCGUAGUAUCUGUUGCGGCAGUCAA